rnacentral:rRNA from 1 species
AACGAACGCUGGCGGCAUGCCUUACACAUGCAAGUCGAACGGCAGCACGGGGCAACCUGGUGGCGAGUGGCGAACGGGUGAGUAAUGCAUCGGAACGUACCUUUCAGUGGGGGAUAACGUAGCGAAAGUUACGCUAAUACCGCAUAUUCUGUGAGCAGGAAAGCAGGGGAUCGCAAGACCUUGCGCUGAUUGAGCGGCCGAUGUGAGAUUAGCUAGUUGGUGAGGUAAAGGCUCAAUAAGGCGACGAUCUGUAGCGGGCAUGAGAGGAUGAUCCGCCAGCCGGGGACGGAGACACGUCCAAGACUCCUACGGGAGGAAGCAGUGGGGAAUUUGGGACAAUGGGGGCAACACUGAUCCAGCCAUGCCGCGUGAGUGAAGAAGGCCUUCGGGUUGUAAAGCUCUUUCGGCCGGGAAGAAAUCGCACGGGCUAAUACCCUGUGUGGAUGACGGUACCGGAAUAAGAAGCACCGGCUAACUACGUGCCAGCCGCCGCCGUAA